rnacentral:rRNA from 1 species
CGAGAANAGGGACCGGCAGGACGUCUCGCGAGCGGAGGCGGCCGAUGACUGAUUAGCCUGUUGGUGAGGUAACGGCUCACCAAAGCAACGAUCAGUAGCUGGUCUGAGAGGACGACCAGCCACACUGGGACUGAGACACGGCCCAGACUCCUACGGGAGGCAGCAG